CUUAGGACACACCCACUUCCCAGACAGAUGGGGACCCCGUGAUGGGAGGUUUCCCGAGGGCUGGUGCUGUGAUCCUCACCCAGCUUUGCCCGCCCCACGGCAUCCUUCCCAACCCUGUGCUUCUGCGGGAGUGCGGGCCCCGCCCCUUGGGGGGCGCGGUCCUUCCUGUUUGCUCAGUUAGCCUGGGUGGGGGCGUGCCAUGUCCCCGCAGCGUCCCGCGCCCUCAGAACCCCCACUCUGCAUUCUGCCCCUCGCCAUGCAAAAUCGAGCCCUUGUCCCCCCUUGGCCAGUCUGCUGGUCGCCUGCAGCCCGAGAUACAGACGAGUGCACGACUUUUCCGUGCGCUGUGCACGUGGGGAGGUGCACAGGGAAGGCGAUCCCCGAGACGUCGGGUGUGCAGCGAGGAAGGGGUCGGGACGGAUCACACACACAUGAUGUCGACGGCAGGGGAACAUAGGCCCGUCCACGGACACCAGAACGGGGCAAAACCCAGCCCCUGAGUCCGGAGGUUGUCCUAGGGGCCUGGAAAGACACGGUGGCCGUUGCCAGGACGCUGGUUCAGCCAUCCCCUGCCUCUUAGAAGUGCCCGUCGGGCAGGCCUUUCCAGAAGCAGGCCCUGAGACCAGCACUGGGGUGCAAGGAGGUCAGGCGGGCCAUCGAUGGGGUCGGGACCUCAUGUAGAAACAGGGUCUUUGCAGAUGUGAGGAAGUGAAGGAUCUGAGGUGAGCUCAUCGGGAAUCGGGCUGAAUCCAAAGGUGCAGGUGUGCUUCUAAGGGACCCAAGAGGAGAGACACAGACAAGACGAGAACCAUGUGAAGGCAGACGCACAGACGGGAGGGACGCGGCCACAAACCCAGGGCCACCUGGAGGCCCAGAAGCUGGAAGAGGGAGGAAGGACCCUCCCCUGGAGCCUCUGGAGGGAGCACAGCCCUGCCCCACCUGGAUCUCAGGGGCCCUGCACUUCCUGGACCUCAGCAGCCCUGCGCCUCCUGGAUCUCAGCAGCCCUUCCCUACCUGGAUCUCAGUGGCCCUGCCCUGCCCGGAUCUCAGGGGUCCUGCCCCUCCAGGAUCUGAGUGGCCCUGCCCUGCCUGGAUCUCAGUGGUCCUUCCCUGCCUGGAUCUCAGUGGUCCUGCCCACUUGGAUCUCAGUGGCCCUGACCCUCCUGGAUCUCAGUGGCCCUGCCCUGCGUGGAUCUCAGUGGUCCUGCCCUGCCUGGAUCUCAGUGGUCCUGCCCACUUGGAUCUCAGUGGCCCUGACCCUCCUGGAUCUCAGUGGCCCUGCCCUGCCUGGAUCUCAGUGGCCCUGCCCUGCCUGGAUCUCAGUGGUCCUGCCCAGUUGGAUCUCAGUGGCCGUGACCCUCCUGGAUCUCAGUGGCCCUGCCCUGCGUGGAUCUCAGUGGCCCUGCCCUGCCUGGAUCUCAGUGGCCCUGCCCUUUCUGGAUCUCAGGGGCCCUGCCCUGCCUGGAUCUCAGCAGUCCUGCCCCUCCUGGAACUCAGUGGCCCUGCCCCGCCUGGAUCUCAGUGGCCCUGCCCCUCCUGGAUCUCAGUGGCCCUGCCCCUCCUGGAUCUCAGUGCUCCUGCCCUGCUGGCUUCGUUUUAAAAACACUGAAAGGACACCGGUCUCUUGCUCAGUGCACAGCAAAUGCUACCUUGCUCAGAUGCAAGGAAUAUUGACCUGCGAAGUAAACAAACAUUAAAAAAAAAGAAGAAGAAAACAGAAACCUGUCCAGCUGUGUAUCUCCUCGUGGAUGUUACCGUGUCCACAGAACCCGCCAUAUCGACGUACCUCCGACCGUAGCCGACCCCCCUCCUCUCUGGACCUGUGCAAUGUAGCAACCUACCUCCAUUUCCCCCAGCUGAUCUGCAACAAUUUAGGAAGAUAACUCUCUCCAGGAUGCCUUCUUUAAAUAUUUAAUUGGUUUUCUGAACAAACGGGACAAUCUGCUACUUGGAAGGAAAAUAAAAAGGAGAAGUAUGUCUCCCA
ensembl:lncRNA